rnacentral:rRNA from 1 species
GAGAGGGAAAGAGCCCAGACCACCAGAUAAGGUCCCCAAAUUAUGAUUAAGUGUGAAAGGAUGUGGAAAUUCCUUAACAGCCGGGAGGUUGGCUUAGAAGCAGCCAUCCUUUAAAGAUAGCGUAACAGCUCACCGGUCUAAUAGAGUUUCUGCGCCGAAGAUGUAACGGGGCUAAAAUCAUAUACCGAAUCUGUGGAUUUGUAAUUUUUUCGAAAAUUACAACUGGUAGCGGAACGUUCUGUAAGCCUGUGAAGGGAUACCCGUGAGGGAUCCUGGAGGUAUCAGAAGUGCGAAUGCUGACAUAAGUAACGAUAAAAGAAGUGAAAAACUUCUUCGCCGAAAAUCCAAGGGUUUCUGCGCAAGGUUAAUCCGCGCAGAGUUAGUCGGCACCUAAGGCGAGGGCGAAAGCCGUAGUCGAUGGAAAUAAGGUUAAUAUUCCUUAACCAGAUGGUAGUGACGGAUCUUGUAAGUUGUAAGUUCUUAAUGGAUUGAACUUGCCGCGAAAAGGUUCCAAGAAAUAGCUCCAUCAUUAGACCGUACCCUAAACCGACACAGGUGGAUUAAUAGAGUAUAUUUAGGCGCUUGAGAGAAUGAUGUUGAAGGAACUCGGCAAAAUACUUCCGUAACUUCGGGAUAAGGAAGACCUUCUUGUAGGCAACUAUAGGAGGGUGGCACAAGCCAGGGAGAAGCGACUGUUUAUCAAAAACACAGGGCUCUGCUAACACGUAAGUGGAUGUAUAGGGUCUGACGCCUGCCCGGUGCUGGAAGGUUAAUGCGGUUGGUGCAAGCUAACUUCUGAAGCCCCAGUAAACGGCGGCCGUAACUAUAACGGUCCUAAGGUAGCGAAAUUCCUUGUCGGGUAAGUUCCGACCUGCAUGAAUGGCGUAACGAUUUCUCCGCUGUCUCCAACAUCAACUCAGUGAAAUUGAAUUCUCCGUGAAGAUGCGGAGUUCGCGUAGUUAGACGGAAAGACCCCGUGCACCUUUACUGCAACUUUACAUUGGUAUUAGGAAAAACAUAUUUAGUAUAGGAGGGAGACAUUGAAGCAAAGGCGUCAGCUUUUGUGGAGUCGCCAGUGAAAUACCUCUUUUGUUUUUCUUGGUAUCUAACUGAUUGCCGUUAUCCGGCAUCAAGACAUUGUAUGGUGGGUAGUUUGACUGGGGCGGUCGCCUCCCAAAUAGUAACGGAGGCGUGCGAAGGUAGGCUCAGAACGGUCAGAAAUCGUUCGUAGAGUGCAAUGGCAUAAGCCUGCCUGACUGUGAGACUGACAAGUCGAGCAGAGACGAAAGUCGGUCAUAGUGAUCCGGUGGUUCUGAGUGGAAGGGCCAUCGCUCAACGGAUAAAAGGUACGCCGGGGAUAACAGGCUGAUACUGCCCA